rnacentral:misc_RNA from 1 species
UCUCCGUUGGUGAACCAGCGGAGGGAUCAUUACCGAGUUUACAACACCCAAACCCCUGUGAACAUACCAUUUGUUGCCUCGGCGGUGCCUGCUUCGGCAGCCCGCCAGAGGACCCAAACCCUUGAUUUUAUACAGUAUCUUCUGAGUAAAUGAUUAAAUAAAUCAAAACUUUCAACAACGGAUCUCUUGGUUCUG